CUUCUAAUUUACUUGCUGCUACAGUCUCACAAUGGUAUAAGCAGUUUUACACAUGAUAAAAUAAUAUUGGACCAUUGCAAAUUGAGAUAAAGUAACCAUUUUCAUCUCUGCUGCAUAGACUAGACAUUG
rnacentral:snoRNA from 1 species